rnacentral:rRNA from 1 species
GAGUAACGCGUGAGGAACCUGCCUCAAAGAGGGGGACAACAGUUGGAAACGACUGCUAAUACCGCAUAAGCCCACGGCUCGGCAUCGAGCAGAGGGAAAAGGAGCAAUCCGCUUUGAGAUGGCCUCGCGUCCGAUUAGCUAGUUGGUGAGGUAACGGCCCACCAAGGCGACGAUCGGUAGCCGGACUGAGAGGUUGAACGGCCACAUUGGGACUGAGACACGGCCCAGACUCCUACGGGAGGCAGCAGUGGGGAAUAUUGCACAAUGGGGGAAACCCUGAUGCAGCGACGCCGCGUGGAGGAAGAAGGUCUUCGGAUU